rnacentral:rRNA from 1 species
UGAGCACGAAGAUGCUACGGCAUCGAAGCAGUCUAUGUCAUACUUCCAAGAAAAGCUUGCAAUGUCAUAAACAAAUAAUGCCUGUACCAUAACCGACACAGGUGGGUAGGUAGAGUAUACUAAGGGGCGCGAGAUAACUCUCUCUAAGGAACUCGGCAAAAUGACUCCGUAACUUCGGGAGAAGGAGUGCCUUAUUUUAUAAGGUUGCAAUAACAAGAUCCAAGCAACUGUUUACCAAAAACACAGGUCUCCGCUAAGUCGUAAGACGAUGUAUGGGGGCUGACGCCUGCCCAGUGCCAGAAGGUUAAAGAAGUUGGUUAGCAUUAGCGAAGCUGAUAACUGAAGCCCUGGUGAACGGCGGCCGUAACCAUAACGGUCCUAAGGUAGCGAAAUUCCUUGUCGGGUAAGUUCCGACCCGCACGAAAGGCGUAAUGAUUUGGAUACUGUCUCGGAGAGGGGCUCGGUGAAAUAGACUUGUCUGUGAAGAUGCGGACUACCUGCACCUGGACAGAAAGACCCUAUGAAGCUUUACUGUAACUUGAGAUUGAAAUUGGACUUUAUUUGCGCAGUAUAGGUGGGAGACCUUGAAAGUAUUCUUGCGGGAAUAUUGGAGUCAUCAGUGAGAUACCACUCUUAUAAUGUUAGAUUUCUAACUUUGGAUCAUUAUCUGGUCAAAGAACAGUUUCAGGCGGGCAGUUUGACUGGGGCGGUCGCCUCCCAAACGGUAACGGAGGCGCACAAAGGUUUCCUCUGAACGUGUAGAAAUCGUAUCUAGAGUGUAAAGGCAUAAGGAAGCUUGACUGUGAGACCUACAAGUCGAGCAGGGACGAAAGUCGGUCUUAGUGAUCUGACGGUGCUGAGUGGAAAGGCCGUCACUCAACGGAUAAAAGUUACUCUAGGAUAACAGGCUGAUCUCCCCCAAGAGUUCACAUCGACGGGGAGGUUUGGCACCUUGAUGUCGGCUCAUCGCAUCCUGGGGCGGUAGUACGUCCCAAGGGUUGGGCUGUUCGCCCAUGAAAGCGGUACGCGAGCUGGGUUCAGAACGUCGUGAGACAGUUCGGUCCAUAUCCGGUGUAGGCGUUAGAAUAUUGAGAGGAGCCUUCUUUAGUACGAGAGGACCGAGAAGGACAUACCUCUGGUGUACCAGUUAUCGUGCCAACGGUAAACGCUGGGUAGCUAUGUAUGGAGAGGAUAACCGCUGAAAGCAUCUAAGUGGGAAGCCCACCUCAAGAUAAG